GACAGAGGUGCCAAGCGUUAGGCGGAAUCACUGGGCUUAAAGCGUGUGUAGGCGGAUCGUUAAGUACCUUGUGAAAUCCCACGGCUCAACCGUGGAACUGCUCGGUAUACUGGCGGUCUUGAGCCACCUAGGGGCAACUGGAACAAGCGGUGGAGCGGUGAAAUGCGCAGAUAUCAGGAGGAACACCAAUUGCGAAGGCAGCUCGCUGGGACGUUACUGACGCUGAGACGCGAAAGCGUGGGGAGCAAACAGG
rnacentral:rRNA from 1 species